UGAUGACGAGACGCUAAGGCGUUGAAGCAGUGUAUGUCAGACUUCCAAGAAAAGCUCGCAGUGUCACAAAUAAGAAAUGCCUGUACCAUAACCGACACAGGUGGGUAGGUAGAGUAUACUAAGGGGCGCGAGAUAACUCUCUCUAAGGAACUCGGCAAAAUGACUCCGUAACUUCGGGAGAAGGAGUGCCUUAUUUAUAAGGUUGCAAUAACAAGAUCCAAGCAACUGUUUAUCAAAAACACAGGUCUCCGCUAAGUCGUAAGACGAUGUAUGGGGGCUGACGCCUGCCCAGUGCCAGAAGGUUAAAGAAGUUGGUUAGUGUAUGCGAAGCUGAUGACUGAAGCCCUGGUGAACGGCGGCCGUAACAAUAACGGUCCUAAGGUAGCGAAAUUCCUUGUCGGGUAAGUUCCGACCCGCACGAAAGGCGUAAUGAUUUGGAUACUGUCUCGGAGAGAGGCUCGGUGAAAUAGACUUGUCUGUGAAGAUGCGGACUACCUGCACCAGGACAGAAAGACCCUAUGAAGCUUUACUGUAACUUGAAAUUGGAAUUGGACUUUGCUUGCGCAGUAUAGGUGGGAAGCGUUGAAAAUAUUCUUGCGGGAGUAUUGGAGCUAUCAGUGAGAUACCACUCUUGUAAUGUUAGAUUUCUAACUUUGAACCAUAAUCUGGUCAAAGAACAGUUUCAGGUGGGCAGUUUGACUGGGGCGGUCGCCUCCCAAAUGGUAACGGAGGCGUACAAAGGUUUCCUCUGAACGGAUAGAAAUCGUAUCUAGAGUGUAAAGGCAUAAGGAAGCUUGACUGUGAGACCUACAAGUCGAGCAGGGACGAAAGUCGGUCUUAGUGAUCUGACGGUACUGAGUGGAAAGGCCGUCACUCAACGGAUAAAAGUUACUCUAGGAUAACAGGCUGAUCUCCCCCAAGAGUUCACAUCGACGGGGAGGUUUGGCACCUCGAUGUCGGCUCAUCGCAUCCUGGGGCGGUAGUACGUCCCAAGGGUUGGGCUGUUCGCCCAUGAAAGCGGUACGCGAGCUGGGUUCAGAACGUCGUGAGACAGUUCGGUCCAUAUCCGGUGUAGGCGCUAGAAUAUUGAGAGGAGCCUUCUUUAGUACGAGAGGACCGAGAAGGACACACCGCUGGUGUACCAGUUAUCGUGCCAACGGUAAACGCUGGGUAGCUAUGUGUGGAGUGGAUAACCGCUGAAAGCAUCUAAGUGGGAAGCCCACCUCGAGAU
rnacentral:rRNA from 1 species